rnacentral:rRNA from 2 species
CCUGCCCUUUGUACACACCGCCCGUCGCUACUACCGAUUGAAUGAUUUAGUGAGGUCUUCGGACUGGUGCGCGGCAAUGUCUCGGCAUUGCCGAUGUUGCCGGGAAGAUGACCAAACUUGAUCAUUUAGAGGAAGUAAAAGUCGUAACAAGGUUUCCGUAGGUGAACCUGCGGAAGGAUCAUUA